GUUUAAGACUGUCCCACGGGC
rnacentral:miRNA from 3 species